GCUAGCUUUGGUUAAUGUGUUUAAUUGUAUUAUCCACCUGAAGGAGUGCUAAUGUAAAUUCUAAGCCAAUUGUUAGUUUGGUUAAGGAACAGCUCAUAGUAGGGUAAAAUAUUUAAGGUGCAUUGCACUUAUUUUGUGUUAAUAUUAAAAUCAUUCAGCUUUAAAUUGUUUGCUUGUUAGCCACGGUUAGCAACCAACCAGUCUAGCGUGUAGUUGUUGUUGUUAUACGUCAUCUAGCGCGCGCCGGUAAGCGUCCCAUGCUGCGUUCAUGCAGGCUCGGUAAUGCUCCCGAUAUUACAUUUUUUAGUGAAUAUUGUCCGAUAAUAUCGGAGGGCCGAUAGCCCUAUACUUAAGUAAAAAUACAGAAGUAUGAUCAGAAAAAUGUACCUAAAGCAUCAAAAGUAAAAGUACUGGUCUUACAGAAAACUGGCCCCGGUAUAUUUUUUAUUUUCCAAUAUUAGAUUGUUAAUACUGAUGCUCAGUGUGUAAGUAGAUUUUCACUGUUGUGGUCGAGAUGGAGCGUGUUUGAACUACUUCAUGUACUGUUCUGUAGUUUUUAGUCCAGGGGUUCCCAACCUGGGGGCAGGCCCCUCCGUACAGUUGCAUGAUAAAUCUGAUUGGGCAAUGGGCAUGAGAUGAUUAAUGGUAAAGGAAAGAAGAAAAAACAAGGGGAUGAUUUAAAUGGAUCAUUUGACCUCUUUGAACCUCAAGGAGUUUUUCAAAUGAAACCAUAUGAGAUGUUUUGAGGGGAAAUGUCUCUUUGGUGGACCUGCAAAUGACUCAUACACAUCUGAAAGGGGCCCCAAAUAGACACUGCUUCUUCUUCUGCAAGAGGUCACAAGCCAAAAACAUGGUUUUGUGUUUAUCACUGUAUUUUAUAAGGUUAUAAUAGGCUUUUUUAAUGUAAAUUGUUAAUCUGAAAGCCAUCAGAUAAAUGCUGUGGUGUAAAAAGUACCAUACAUGCCUCUGAAAUGUUUUGGAGUAGAAGUAUAAAGUAGGAGAAAAUGAAAAUACUCAAGUAUUAAGUACCUGAAGUACCUCAAUAUUACACAUAAGUAGAGUACUUAGUUACUUUUCGCAACUGAUAGGAUGUUCCUGAUUAGGAAUAAUCAGUGUUAAAGUGCAGUAGCAGACAGAAGAAGAACUGUGUAUUUUAACCACAAGACCAAAUGCAGUUUUUCUGUGGAUCACUAAGGACUGAUCUUCUGAAGUUGGCUCAGUUCAGGUGGUACCGUGGACCUUUAUCAUGCUUACAGGUACAGGUUGUAGAGAGCUUUCAUCUGUGAUACAAAACACAAUGUUUGGUAUAAAAUGAAGUCAAGGAAUCUGAUGCAACUAUACUAUUUAUAAAAUGUAUACAAUCUUUAUUUCUGUAUAUGACCAUAGUGUGUCUAUUAAUGUGAGUGUGGACUUUAUUGCACUUUUCCUUCUCCCAGUCUCCUGUUGUGUAGAGUUUUUGUGGCAUAUUAUGUCACAUUUUGGUGUUAUUAAUGCUGCACAGUCGUUACUGAGGACCGUUCAUUUCAUAUAAAAAGUCCUGGUUUGAACAAGUUUGAACGUACAGGGUUUUUUUUUUUUUUUUUUUCUAGCUUUGCUGAUUGCUGUAAAAGUCGUUGAGGGACCUAAAGAGUUAAAAACUUCCCUCUCUCUUGAACGCUGCGUGGGCUGCAAGAUCAUUCGAGUGCAUUUUCAGCGUCCAAUCAGCUGCGCGGAGUCCACUCCGCAGUCAGCCAAUAGGGAGAAUGGGAGGCUCUAUCGAAUUUGAAUGAGAAGUGAAUCUUUAGGCGCCAUUUUCGAGUAUACAGCGAUUGCUUCAGCAGCUGCGGAGAGAGGAUGCUGCGAAUGUAGAAAGCUGUCGCUGAGACGGGGGGAAAAAUCAAGCGCUGAAAAUUAAACUGCGCUUUUAGAGAGCGGCAUCGCGUACUUCCAGUGGAAACACAGGGGAUGCUGACCCUAUUAACCCAGGACUAAUACAAGGAGAUUUUGUCAUGCCCCACAGAUCUGACAGCUAUACACCCCUGAUGUGAAGUUGUAAAUUAACCACAGCAAACUUGUGUCCGAUGUAUCAAAUGUCUAUAAUUAGGUAACUUUUUGUUACCUUGUGCAAAGCAACUCCAAAUUAAAGUGUCUUGCAUGAAUUUAA